AUUGAACGCUGGCGGAAUGCUUUACACAUGCAAGUCGAACGGCAGCACGGGGCAACCUGGUGGCGAGUGGCGAACGGGUGAGUAAUAUAUCGGAACGUGCCCAAUCGUGGGGGAUAACGUAGCGAAAGUUACGCUAAUACCGCAUACGAUCUACGGAUGAAAGCGGGGGAUCGCAAGACCUCGCGCGAAUGGAGCGGCCGAUAUCAGAUUAGGUAGUUGGUGGGGUAAAGGCUCACCAAGCCAACGAUCUGUAGCUGGUCUGAGAGGACGACCAGCCACACUGGAACUGAGACACGGUCCAGACUCCUACGGGAGGCAGCAGUGGGGAAUUUUGGGACAAUGGGCGACAAGCCUGAUCAGCAUUCCGCGUGCAGGAUGAAGGCC
rnacentral:rRNA from 1 species